rnacentral:rRNA from 1 species
AGAAUCAACGCUGGCGGCGUGCCUAACACAUGCAAGUCGAACGAGGAAGUGGAGCAAUCCAUGAGUAAAGUGGCGCACGGGUGAGUAACACGUGACUAACCUACCCUUGAGUGGGGGAUAACCUAGGGAAACCUGGGCUAAUACCGCAUAAUACCUUCGGGUCAAAGGAGCAAUUCGCUUAAGGAGGGGGUCGCGGCCGAUUAGUUAGUUGGCGGGGUAAUGGCCCACCAAGACUGUGAUCGGUAU